GACAGAGGAGGCAAGCGUUGUCCGGACUUACUGGGCGUAAAGCGCACGCAGGUGGCAGGUCAAGUGGGGUGUGAAAUCGCGCGGCUUAACCGCGCAGCGCCAUCCCAAACUGACCCGCUCGAGCCCUGCAGAGGCCCGUGGAAUUGCCGGUGUAGUGGUGAAAUGCGUAGAGAUCGGCAGGAACACCAAGGGGGAAACCAACGGGCUGGGCAGGUGCCGACACUCAGGUGCGAAAGCGUGGGGAGCGAACAGG
rnacentral:rRNA from 1 species